UACAGAGGUCCCAAGCGUUGUUCGGAUUCACUGGGCGUAAAGGGUGCGUAGGCGGUCGCGCAAGUCGGAUGUGAAAUCUUGGGGCUCAACCCCGAAACUGCAUUCGAUACUGCGUGGCUUGAGUACUGGAGAGGAGACUGGAAUUUACGGUGUAGCAGUGAAAUGCGUAGAUAUCGUAAGGAAGACCAGUGGCGAAGGCGAGUCUCUGGACAGUUACUGACGCUGAGGCACGAAGGCCAGGGGAGCAAACGGG
rnacentral:rRNA from 1 species